rnacentral:rRNA from 1 species
UACGGGAGGCAGCAGUGGGGAAUAUUGCACAAUGGGCGCAAGCCUGAUGCAGCCAUGCCGCGUGUAUGAAGAAGGCCCUUCGGGUUGUAAAGUACUUUCAGUCGUGAGGAAGGUGUUAAGGUUAAUAACCUUAGCAAUUGACGUUAGCGACAGAAGAAGCACCGGCUAACUCCGUGCCAGCAGCCGCGGUAAUACGGAGGGUGCGAGCGUUAAUCGGAAUUACUGGGCGUAAAGGGCACGCAGGCGGUUAAUUAAGUUGGAUGUGAAAUCCCCGGGCUUAACCUGGGAAUGGCAUUCAAGACUGGUUAGCUAGAGUCUUGUAGAGGGGGUAGAAUUCCAUGUGUAGCGGUGAAAUGCGUAGAGAUGUGGAGGAAUACCGGUGGCGAAGGCGGCCCCUGGACAAAGACUGACGCUCAUGUGCGAAAGCGUGGGGAGCAAACAGGAUUAGAUACC